rnacentral:rRNA from 1 species
AAAAUUUCUAAUUUUACUUUCCAGUAAAAUUACUUUGUUACGACUUGUCUUAAAAUUUAUUUAAAUAUAAGAAUGACGGGCAAUAUGUACAUAUUUUUAGAAAAUUUUAAUUUUAAAAAUUUUAAAAAUUUAUUAUUAAAUUCUAAAUUUAAAUUUAAUUAAAAAUAAUUAAAUUAUUUUAAAAUUUAAAGCAACUCUAAAAAUCUAAAUUAUAUUUAUAUUUUGACUUGAAAUAUUUUAUUUUUAAAUUUUAAUAAUAAUUAAAAAAUUAAAUUUAAACAGUAAUAUAUAAAAAUAAUAAAUUUAGUUUAUUUUAAUGUGGAUUAUCAAUUUAAAUUUUAAGUUUCUUUAAUUAAAAAAAAGACCGUCAAUUUUUUUAUACC